GUCCAGUUAGCUCAGUUGAUUGGAGCGUGGUGCUGCUAACACCAAGGUUGCAGGUUUUAUUCCCUGUACAGGCCA